UGCAGACGCCACCGACCCGGAGCCGCCUUCGCGGCCCAGCCAUGGUCAACCCCACCGUGUUCUUCGAUAUCGCCGUGGACGGCGAGCCCUUGGGCCGCGUCUCCUUCGAGCUAUUUGCAGACAAAGUUCCAAAGACAGCAGAGAACUUCCGUGCCCUGAGCACUGGGGAGAAAGGAUUUGGUUAUAAAGGUUCCUGCUUUCACAGGAUUAUUCCGGGAUUUAUGUGCCGGGGGGGGGGACUUCACACGCCAUAAUGGCACUGGAGGCAAGUCCAUCUAUGGGGAGAAGUUUGAUGAUGAGAAUUUCAUCCUGAAGCACACGGGUCCUGGCAUCCUGUCCAUGGCCAACGCUGGACCCAACACGAACGGUUCCCAGUUCUUCAUCUGCACUGCCAAGACUGAGUGGUUGGAUGGCAAGCACGUGGUCUUCGGCAAGGUCAAAGAGGGCAUGAACAUCGUGGAGGCCAUGGAGCGCUUUGGGUCCAGGAACGGCAAGACCAGCAAGAAGAUCACCAUUGCUGACUGUGGACAGAUCUAGGAAAUCCGACUCGUGUUUUAUCUUAACUACCAGACCAUUCCUUGUGUAGCUCGGGAGAGCACCCCUCCACCCCCACCUGCUUGAAGUACCCCAGAAUCUCUGUGCUCUCGCUGCAGUUCUGCGGGCUCCAUGGUUCCUUCUCCCCAGGUCUAGCUGGAUGGCAGAGCUCAGUUGAUGAUGAUGAAAUAAAACCUAAACCACAAAAAAAAA